rnacentral:ncRNA from 1 species
CAAAGGCUUGGUCCUGACUUUAUUAUCAGCUUUAGCCGAACUUACACAUGCAAGUAUCCGCACCCCUGUGAGAAUGCCCUCAGUUCCCUGCCUGGGAACAAGGAGCUGGUAUCAGGCACAAUUUAAGCCCAUGACACCUUGUUUAGCCACACCCUUAAGGGAACUCAGCAGUGAUAGAUAUUAAGCCAUAAGUGAAAACUUGACUUAGUAAAAGCUAAGAGGGCCGGUAAAACUCGUGCCAGCCACCGCGGUUAUACGAGAGGCCCAAGUUGAUUACUUACGGCGUAAAGAGUGGUUAGGGAGGAAUCAGUACUAAAGCCGAAUGUUUUCAAGGCUGUUGUACGCACCCGAAAACGAGAAGUUCAACCACGAAAGUGGCUUUAUUAAACCCUGAACCCACGAAAGCUAGGGAACAAACUGGGAUUAGAGACCCCACUAUGCCUAGCCGUAAACAUUGAUAGAUUAACACAACCCCUAUCCGCCCGGGAACUACGAGCACCAGCUUAAAACCCAAAGGACUUGGCGGUGCUUUAGAUCCUACUAGAGGAGCCUGUUCUAGAACCGAUACCCCCCGUUCAACCUCACCCUUCCUUGUUUUUCCCGCCUAUAUACCGCCGUCGUCAGCCCACCCUGUGAAGGUUUAAAAGUAGGCUAGAUUGGCAUAGCCCAGAACGUCAGGCCGAGGUGUAGCGUAUGGAGGGGGAAGAAAUGGGCUACAUUCCCUAUUUUAGGGCAAAACGAAUGAUAUGCUGAAACGCACAUCUUGAAGGAGGAUUUAGCAGUAAGUAGGAAGUAGAGCAUCCUACUGAAAUUGGCUCUGAAGCGCGCACAUACCGCCCGUCACUCUCCCCAAAAAAUACCACCCUAAUUAUAUAAAACCUUAGACCAAUAAAGGGGAGGCAAGUCGUAACAUGGUAAGUGUACCUGAAGGUGCACUUGGAUUACA